UACGGAGGGUGCAAGCGUUGUCCGGAUUUAUUGGGUUUAAAGGGUGCGUAGGCGGCCCGGUAAGUCAGUGGUGAAAGCCUCCAGCUCAACUGGAGAACUGCCAUUGAUACUGCCGGGCUUGAGUACAGACGAGGUUGGCGGAAUUGAUUGUGUAGCGGUGAAAUGCAUAGAUACAAUCAAGAACUCCGAUUGCGUAGGCAGCUAACUAGGCUGUAACUGACGCUGAGGCACGAAAGCGUGGGGAGCGAAUGGG
rnacentral:rRNA from 1 species